CACACACAGCUAGUUUUCCUUCAUUAGCAUGCAUCAUCUAGGCAAGGCUGAGCCAGGACAGACUUAGAAGGAAUAUGGAUUCAUUUUGUUACAGAAGAGCAAAGCUUGGGAAACGGGGAGGAUGUGAUGACUGCAGCACCUGGGGUAAUCAUCACCUACCGUGACAGGACUGAUGACGCAUAUUCGAAUUUCAAGCUGCCCUGCUUAGCUGUGAGUGGUCAGAACAGCUGCAGCAUCUUGUUUCCAUUUUCUGACUAAAUAAGCACACACAAGUAACUCUAGUGCAAGCAUCUGUGUACACAGUUUGGUCUGCAAGUACGCAUACAAGUAACCUGAAAAUCUACUUCUUGCAAACAUUUUCUGCCAGCAAAACCCCGCUCUUCAGAAGUUUGUAGAAAACGAGAUCAGCCAUAGCUAAAGCAAAUUCAUUUAAAUAUGCGAACUGUGUCAACAUUUUUUAUGCAUUACUUGCUCAAUUCUAAUGAUUAUGCAUAUACUCUAAAUAAAAACUUGUGAUGAAAACCA